UACGUAGGGUGCAAGCGUUUGUCCGGAAUUAUUGGGCGUAAAGAGCUCGUAGGCGGUCUGUCGCGUCUGCUGUGAAAACUCAGGGCUUAACCCUGAGCUUGCAGUGGGUACGGGCAGACUAGAGUGCGGUAGGGGAGACUGGAAUUCCUGGUGUAGCGGUGAAAUGCGCAGAUAUCAGGAGGAACACCGGUGGCGAAGGCGGGUCUCUGGGCCGUAACUGACGCUGGAGGAGCGAAAGCCAUGGGGAGCGAACAGG
rnacentral:rRNA from 1 species